rnacentral:hammerhead_ribozyme from 1 species
GUACUGCUGAGGAGUCCCACAACUGGACGAAAUGGUCAUCCAGUGC